UACAUUUUCCCUCUCACCAGAA
rnacentral:piRNA from 1 species